rnacentral:rRNA from 1 species
UACGAAGGGGGCUAGCGUUGCUCGGAAUCACUGGGCGUAAAGCGCACGUAGGCGGACUCUUAAGUCAGGGGUGAAAUCCUGGAGCUCAACUCCAGAACUGCCUUUGAUACUGGGAGUCUCGAGUUCGGGAGAGGUGAGUGGAACUGCGAGUGUAGAGGUGAAAUUCGUAGAUAUUCGCAAGAACACCAGUGGCGAAGGCGGCUCACUGGCCCGAUACUGACGCUGACGGAGCGAAAGCGUGGGGAGCGAACGAG